rnacentral:rRNA from 1 species
UAGGGAAUCUUCCGCAAUGGACGAAAGUCUGACGGAGCAACGCCGCGUGAGUGAUGAAGGCUUUCGGGUCGUAAAACUCUGUUGUUAGGGAAGAACAAGUGCUAGUUGAAUAAGCUGGCACCUUGACGGUACCUAACCAGAAAGCCACGGCUAACUACGUGCCAGCAGCCGCGGUAAUACGUAGGUGGCAAGCGUUAUCCGGAAUUAUUGGUCGUAACGCGCGCGCAGGUGGUUUCUUAAGUCUGAUGUGAAAGCCCACGGCUCAACCGUGGAUGGUCAUUGGAAACUGGGAGACUUGAGUGCAGAAGAGGAAAGUGGAAUUCCAUGUGUAGCGGUGAAAUGCGUAGAGAUAUGGAGGAACACCAGUGGCGAAGGCGACUUUCUGGUCUGUAACUGACACUGAGGCGCGAAAGCGUGGGGAGCAA